rnacentral:lncRNA from 1 species
CUUAGGUUUGGAGACAUUACCAUUAGAGCAUUUCUCAGAACCACCUAGUCUGCUGAGCUUUGCAAGAGGCAAGGGAGCGGCAGCCCAGAUAGAUGUUGGGUGCUGGGAGGAAGAUUGGGGUUAAUCCUGGCUCAAGGUUUUCUUCUCUUUGCCAUCACUUUUGAAGACUUCAGUACACAUGCCGGCAGUGCAUCUGACAGCUUGGUCUCCCAGGUCUUCUUGUCUUAACACCACUGAUAUUCUCUCAACAAAUGAUCCUUUUGAUGACACUGACUAUCAAGUCUUCAUUCAAAAUCAUUCAUUCAUUCAUUCAAUAGGCAAGUUCCAAGUGACUCCUACAUGUCAAGAACUUCUUAAGGAUUCGGAGUAUAAAAAUUAGAAAAUUUCCUCGACCUUGAGCUCCAUUGUGAGAAACAGAUGAAGAAACUACAGUGUCAUUAAUGACUAUCAUAAUGGAAUGCCCUAGGGGAAUGUGAAGAAGGAGACCUCUCUAAGCCCAGAGUGUCUGCUUUCAUUACCAUUCCAAUCCAGAGCUAGAAGUGAAAUUCUGAAGAUGAAUGGAGAUGCAGCCUGGAGCCUAGUUUAUCAGCAAAAAGGAACAGCAAGCCCUAAGGAAAGGACGUGUAAUUUUGUUUGUCUCUUUAUUUUGCACCUGCACAAACUGUAAUUUUAAGGCUCAUCACGUUAGACUACAAAAGAUCUAAAAACCCUAAGAAAUACAUUGUAUUGAAAUUCAAAUUACAUUUCAGCCUAAUCAAACCAGACGAUAAGCUCCUCAAAGGCAGGAACCAAGAUUAAUUAUGUUUUGAUCUGUAAAUCCUAGAACAGUACCUGAUACAAUUUAGGUACUCCCUAAUGUCUGCCAAACUGAAUGGCCAAGGGUGACUCAUACCUCAUUCAUCGUGUUUUAUACUCAAAGCCUACCAUGAAAUAAUCAGAUAGGGGAAGAAUGGGUUUAUGGGUUUUGUUUACACCAGAAGGCCGGGAAAAGGAGAAAAGAUAGUUGCCUUUCUUGACUUCCUAUUUUAUCCAAGGAUAUAAAUAAGAGAUUUGAGUCCAAGAAGCAAACCAUUCCCUUGGACUUAAAUAUGCUAUAAUAUAUAACACUACUCAGCAUUGCUAAUUAUGGUCAAAAAGGUAUUUAAGUGAAUUUCAGAGACAAAAAGAAGUUAGUGAAAACUACCAUUUUCUUCUUCUGAAAGGGGAAAACAAUUUAGUAUUUUCUGAUAAACACAAAUUAUGUUCAAUUCUGAGAGCCAUUCUGCCAAGCACAAUAGAUACAGAAUUUAAUGAACUGUAAAUAAACCCAAUGACAAAGAUUUCCUGGUUGUGUGUUUCUCAAAUUCAAACAUACAGGGUAAUAAAAAGAGCAAUGGAAUCAGAACUUGGAUGUUUGGGUCCUAAUUUCCAGAUGAGUCACUAAUUUGAUGCAUAUCCUAAAUGUUCUGACUUUUUAAUCAUGAAGUUGGAAUAGGGGACCUUGAAGGUCUCCUCUAGAGCAAAGAUACUAAAUUUCAAUUAGCUUUUGUUUUUAUAUGGCUCAAUAAUUAGGACUAUCAGCUAUGAAUAACUGGCUAAAAAGCUGUGCCCUAGGGAUAGGAUAUUAAGAGUUCCAAUGUCCUUCCCAACAUCCUUUUUCUCAAGAUACCCUUUUUGGAAUACCCUCUAGGCCC